GCGCCAGUAGCCCAAAUGGCAGAGGCAGGGGAUUUAAAAUCCCCACAGUACGGGUUCGAAUCCCGUCUGGCGCA
rnacentral:tRNA from 1 species